rnacentral:lncRNA from 1 species
UUAGUUCAAAACUCCAUAACUUGCUCAAUUCUUAAUCUUUUUGGGAAAACUUGUGCUUCACAUGUUCCUCAAGUAGGCUACUAUCACAUCAUGUUUUAGGCUUCAUCUGAUUCCAUUUAUCCCAUUUAUGGCCCAAAUAAUUCUAAAAGGUGAAAACUGUCUUCUAUAUGCAUGCCUCUCGGGUUUGGCCUCAUUUCUCCCAAAAUUUCCUUCUAU